CUCUAAGGCUAAAUACUCGUGAUCGACCGAUAGUGAACCAGUACCGUGAGGGAAAGGUGAAAAGUACCCUGAAUAAGGGGGUGAAAUAGUACCUGAAACCAUACGCUUACAAGCGGUCGGAGCCAACUAGUUUGGUGACGGCGUGCCUUUUGCAUAAUGAGCCUACGAGUUACUCCUCUCUAGCAAGGUUAAGGAUUUAAGGUCCGUAGCCGGAGCGAAAGCGAGUCUGAAUAGGGCGCACUAGUUAGAGGGGGUAGACGCGAAACCUGGUGAUCUACCCAUGGUCAGGUUGAAGUGACAGUAACAUGUCAUGGAGGACCGAACUGAUAUACGUUGAAAAGUGUUCAGAUGAACUGUGGGUAGGGGUGAAAGGCCAAUCAAACCAGGAAAUAGCUCGUACUCCCCGAAAUGUUUUUAGGAACAGCGUGGAGGUUAAGUCUAUUAGAGGUAGAGCUACCAAUAGGACUAGGGGGAGUCAAAUCCUACCAAAUCCUGAUGAACUCCGAAUGCUAAUAGAUAUACUCCGCAGUGAGGGUAAGGGUGCUAAGGUCCUUAUCCGAGAGGGAAAGAACCCAGACCUUCAGCUAAGGUCCCAAAGUGUAUACUAAGUUGAACUAAGGCGGUCCAGUUGCAUAGACAGCCAGGAUGUUGGCUUGGAAGCAGCCAUUCAUUUAAAGAGUGCGUAACAGCUC
rnacentral:rRNA from 1 species